UGUUGUGUCGUCCGCAAACUUGAUGAUUGAGUUGAAUUGAUAUUGGAUGCCAACCGCCGUUAAUCAUCGAAGAAGAAAUAUAGCGAGUCCAUGAAUCGGCGAAUGCGAACCAGUUGUUAUUCUAGUGAUGGAACAUGAGUAGAUUAAUUUGAUAACAACGGUCGGACAUCUUGAACGCAGUCUCCAAUUCUUAUUUUACCACAGUAAAUCCAUCCAGUGUCCAGAACGCCAUUUUAUGAACUCUCCCUUUUCCCCUUACUGCGGUGCCGCUCAAUUGACCAAUCUGCGGCCACUAUUUCUAACAGGUAACCAAUCACAGCAGGCUUUACAUGAAUCAGACCAGUGGCUUUAUAUUCACGGGGCUGCAUGAGGAAUGUAAACUAUUUAACAUGGAGACAGCAGUUGAUAAACUGGAGGCGAUGUUCCAGAAGGCAGAGGCUGACAUGGAGUACAUGGAGAAACGGCUGAGGCUGGAAUUCCUGACAAGUGCUCCAGAGAACGGUGCAGCAGAGGAAAACCCUGUGAAGCUGCUGGAGAACCUGUCUGCCAUCAAGGUGAGGCAUGCGGCCUUGUGCACACAAGUACAGGAGAUUGCAGCUGAGCAGAAGCAGUCAAUGGACUCCAUUCGAGCACACCUCGACACCACUGUGCAGCUGGUGCAACAGUUACAGCAGACUGCUGACAUUGAGAUUCCACCACUGACAAAGAUGGAGCAGGAGUCUGCAGAUUUCCUUGGUUUAUCAGUCAAUCAAAACACAGCAGAGGUAAGGCCAUUUGCUCGCGCUAAGAUGUCAUUGCAUACAGGAGCAGAGCGUACAGAGAAACUAUUUUUGACAGAUGUCAUUCCGUGGAACACCAUCUAUGCCAUUGUAUGUGCACUGCUUCUUAUAGUCCAAUUUUACGUCUCUUGCCAUUCAGAGAAAUAUAAAGCUUGACGGCUCAGGAUUUCUCGUAAACUGAACAAAAAUAAACGCAAUAUGCAAAAAUUUCAAAGAUUUUGCUGAGUUAGUUCAUAAGGAAAUCGGUCAAUUGAAAUAAAUAAAUUAGGCUCUAAUCUAUGGAUUUCACAUGACUGGGAAUACAGAUAUGAAUCUGGUCACAGAUACCGUAGAAACAACGUAGGGUCGUGGAUCAAAUAAACCAGUAUCUGGUGUGAUCACCAUUUGCCUCCUGCAUUGCGACGUCUCCUUUGUAAAGAGUUAAAUCAGGCUGUUGAUUGUGGCCUGUGGAAUGUUGUCCCACUCUUCAAUGGCUGUGUGUGAAGUUGCUGGAUAUUGGCAAAAACUGGAACACGCUGUCGUACACGUCGAUCUAGAUUAUUCCAAACAUGCUCAAUGGAUGACAUGUCAGGUGAAUAUGCAGGCCAUGGAAGAACUGUGACAUUUUCAGCUUCCAGGAAUUGUGUAUAGAUCCUUGCGCUGUGGGGCUGUACAUUAUCAUACUGAAACAGGUAGUGAUGGCAUUGGAUGAAUGACACGACAAUGGGCCUCAGGAUCUCAUCACGGUAUCUUUUUGCAUUCAAAUUACCAUCGAUAAAAUGCAAUUGUGUUUGUUGUCCAUAGCUUAUGCCUGCCUAAGCCAUAACCCCACCACUACCACUGUUCACAACGUUGACAUCAAACUGCUUUCCCGCACAAUGCCAUACACGCCAUCUCCCCAAUACAGUUGAAACUGGGAUACAUCCGUGAAGAGCACACUUCUCCAUCGUACCACUGGCCAUCGAAGGUGAGCAUUUUCCCACUGAAGUCGAACUGCAGUCAGGUUAAGACCCUGGUGAGGACAACGAGCAGGUAGUUGAGCCACUGAGACGAUUUCUGACAUUUUGUUCAAAAUGUUUCAUCAGCUGUCUGGGUAGCUGGUCUCGGAUGAUCCCGCAGGUGAAGAAGCCAGAUGUGGAGGUCCUGGGCUGGCGUGGUUACACCUGGUUAUCAUACACGUGGUCUGUGUUUGAGGCCGGUUGGAUGUAGUACCAAAUGAUCUAAAACGACGUUGGAGGUGGCUUAUAGUAGAGAUAUGAACGUGAAAUUCUGGCAAACAUUCCUGGGAUCUUUUAUUUCAGCUCAUGAAACAUGGGACCAACACUUUACAUGUUGCAUUUCAUAUUUUUGUUCAGUAGGAUAUACACAUUGUAAUAACUAAUAUGCCAAUGUUUGUCUGUUCAGUUACUGAUGUCUAUGGAGCCUUCAGUCCAAGAGCAGCCUCAGUUGGUGCCCUGAGUUUGCAGCAGAUGAACAUGACGGUUAGCGACGCCAAGCUGAAGACGUUGCAGCAUCUCUCUGGACAAGAAAGGGCACCUUUGCCUGCUAAUGAGUGGGGAACUGGCACAUGUUAGCCUAUUUGAAGGGUUCUGAUGCCUACUUAUGCUUUGAUUUGAUUUCUUUUGCUAGUUAUUUUAAAAUGACACAAUCUGAAACAAUUGACCAGAAGCAAGAACUCCAGAUGAAACCAACUCACCACAAUGUUUGAGGUGCUGUAAGUGGAAGGUGACGGGCCAUAUUGUAAAUUAGAUGCACUAUUUUUGAAGGUUCUCUGACUGUGGCUAAUGCAUCAGUUGAAUGCGUUUCACCUGUAAAUAUGUUAAUGAUUACUUUCCAACUGUACGUCAAUGUAUUAUGAUGCUUCAUUAAAAUGAAAUUCCCUCUAAGGUA